rnacentral:rRNA from 1 species
GGGGACUGCCAGAUAGUUCAUGAGGUGUUGGCCCUUUGCAAAGCCAGCGACCCCAAGCUAGUGUUCCUAAGUGAGACUAGACAGGAUGUAGGGAGGAUGGAAAAGUUGAAGUGGAGACUCGAUCUUAAGGGUUUCAAUGGUGUGAGGAGCAAUGGACUGAGUGGUGGUCUGGCCCUUUACCGGGAUGAGUCCUUGGAUGUGUCUGUGCUGGAUGCAUGCGCUUGA